rnacentral:rRNA from 1 species
UACAGAGGGGGCAAGCGUUGUUCGGAAUUACUGGGCGUAAAGGGCGCGUAGGCGGCCUGCUAAGUCGAACGUGAAAUCCCCGGGCUCAACCCGGGAACUGCGUCCGAUACUGGCAGGCUUGAAUUCGGGAGAGGGAUGCGGAAUUCCAGGUGUAGCGGUGAAAUGCGUAGAUAUCUGGAGGAACACCGGUGGCGAAGGCGGCAUCCUGGACCGAAAUUGACGCUGAGGCGCGAAAGCUAGGGUAGCAAACGGG